AUAUCAAUGAGUGUUUGAGUAUCAGUGCCCCGUGCCCUAUCGGGCAUACAUGCAUCAACACGGAGGGCUCCUACACGUGCCAGAAGAACGUGCCCAACUGUGGCCGUGGCUACCAUCUCAACGAGGAGGGAACGCGCUGUGUUGAUGUGGACGAGUGCGCGCCACCUGCUGAGCCCUGUGGGAAGGGACAUCGCUGCGUGAACUCUCCCGGCAGUUUCCGCUGCGAAUGCAAGACGGGUUACUAUUUCGACGGCAUCAGCAGGAUGUGUGUGGAUGUCAACGAGUGCCAGCGCUACCCCGGGCGCCUGUGUGGCCACAAGUGCGAGAACACGCUGGGCUCCUACCUCUGCAGCUGUUCCGUGGGCUUCCGGCUCUCUGUGGACGGCAGGUCAUGUGAAGACAUCAAUGAGUGCAGCAGCAGCCCCUGUAGCCAGGAGUGUGCCAACGUCUACGGCUCCUACCAGUGUUACUGCCGGCGAGGCUACCAGCUCAGCGAUGUGGAUGGAGUCACCUGUGAAGACAUUGAUGAGUGUGUGACUGGCAUCCACAACUGCUCCAUCAAUGAGACCUGCUUCAACAUCCAGGGUGGCUUCCGCUGCCUGGCCUUCGAGUGCCCUGAGAACUACCGCCGCUCCGCAGCCACGGUGGAAGCCUUGGGCAAGCUCUCUGGGCCUCAGUUUCCUCAUCUGUAACAUGCAGAUGUCAGAACGUACUCUGACUUAGAUGCAUAGGUAGCAGUGUCUCCAUGUCAGCCCAGAGCCAGGGAGCUGAUGUGACCUGUUGGACGUUGUUGUUAGGUGCCCAUCUGAAAGCCAGAAUUCGUCCAGCCUGGUGACUGUGGGAACAGCAUCAAAGAUUCCACAUCCUAAA
rnacentral:sRNA from 1 species